rnacentral:rRNA from 1 species
AGUUUGUUGUUUUUUAUAAUAAAUUUUUUUUGCCCCAUGCUUAGGUAAAUGGCCGCGGUACUCUGACCGUGCAAAGGUAGCAUAAUCAUUUGCCUUUUAAUUGAAGGCUGGAAUGAAAGAAAGUUUGAGACUUUAACUGUCUCUUUUUUAUUUUUAGAAUUUGCUGUUUUUGUGAAGAAGCAAAAUUUUUGGAAAAAGACAAGAAGACCCUUUUAAGCUUUACCUUUUUUUUUUCCUUUUUUCUUUCUAGUAUUUUUAGUAAAAAAAAGUGGUUUGGUUGGGGUGACUAAAGAAGACUAAAUCUUCUUUAGCUUUUUUUGGCUUAGGGCCCAAUCUUGACCCGGAAUUUCCGGUUGAAAGAAUUAGUUACUAAAGGGAUAACAGCGUAAUUUUUUCAGAAAGUUCUUAUUGAAGAAAAAGAUUGCGACCUCGAUGUUGACUUGCUUUCUCCUUUUAAGGUGCAGAAGUUGAAAGGGUUGGUCUGUUCAACCAUUAAAAUAGC